rnacentral:rRNA from 1 species
GGACGAACGCUGGCGGCGUGCUUAACACAUGCAAGUCGAACGGAAAGGCCUCAGCUUGCUGGGGUACUCGAGUGGCGAACGGGUGAGUAACACGUGGGUGAUCUGCCCUGCACUUCGGGAUAAGCCUGGGAAACUGGGUCUAAUACCGGAUAGGACCAUCGUUUAGUGUCGGUGGUGGAAAGUUUUUCGGUGCAGGAUGAGCUCGCGGCCUAUCAGCUUGUUGGUGGGGUAAUGGCCUACCAAGGCGUCGACGGGUAGCCGGCCUGAGAGGGUGGACGGCCACAUUGGGACUGAGACACGGCCCAGACUCCUACGGGAGGCAGCAGUGGGGAAUAUUGCACAAUGGGCGCAAGCCUGAAUGCAGCGACGCCGCGUGGGGGAUGACGGCCUUCGGGUUGUAAACUCCUUUCAACCAUGACGAAGCUUUUGUGACGGUAGUGGUAGAAGAAGCACCGGCUAACUACGUGCCAGCCGCAGC